ACAGAAGAGGCAGAUUUGAAAGGAAAAGAAGUUUCAUGAAAGACAACAUCCCUGGACACAAAACACUUUUUGGAACUAAGAUCAUUUAGUUUAUAACCCUUUUUGGCAAAAGGAUACCCUAGGAAAACACAAGAAAUGGCCCUAGGCUUUAACUUGUCCAUUUGAGGAAUGGGGACAGUAGCAUAGGCAAGGCAGCCAAAAGCCUUCAAAUGAGAGUAAGUGGGUGCCUUACCAUGCAAGAUUUCAUAAGGGGAUUUACCAUGAAGGAGCCUGGAGGGUAUUCUGUUAAUAAGAUAGGUAGCAGUUAAUAGAUUAGAGUUUGAUGAACCCUUUUUGGCAAAAGGAUACCCUAGGAAAACACAAGAAAUGGCCCUAGGCUUUAACUUGUCCAUUUGAGGAAUGGGGACAGUAGCAUAGGCAAGGCAGCCAAAAGCCUUCAAAUGAGAGUAAGUGGGUGCCUUACCAUGCAAGAUUUCAUAAGGGGAUUUACCAUGAAGGAGCCUGGAGGGUAUUCUAUUAAUAAGAUAGGUAGCAGUUAAUAGACAAUCACCCCAGAAAGAAAUAGGUAAACCAGACUGGAAAAGUAAAGCUCUACAGGUUUCAAGAAAAGUUCUAUGUUUCCUCUCAACAACACCAUUCUGUUGGGGAGUAUGUGGGCAAGUGGUUUGGUGUAUGAUGCCAUGUUGGUUAAAAA
rnacentral:lncRNA from 1 species